rnacentral:rRNA from 1 species
GGACCAAUAUGUCAGUCAUACCUCGGUACGCACUGGCUUAUAGGUUUCUCCCUUCUGACGAACCAUGAUGUCAUUAAUUUGGUGUCUUGGGGAAUCAGGACUGUUACUUUGAAAAAUUAGAGUGUUUAAAGCAGGCUCACGCUUGAAUACAUUAGCAUGGAAUAAUGAAAUAGGACGUUUGAUUCUAUUUUGUUGGUUUCUAGGAUCGACGUAAUGAUUAAU